GACGAACGCUGGCGGCGUGCUUAACACAUGCAAGUCGAACGGAAAGGCCCUGCUUUUGUGGGGUGCUCGAGUGGCGAACGGGUGAGUAACACGUGAGUAACCUGCCCUUGACUUUGGGAUAACUUCAGGAAACUGGGGCUAAUACCGGAUAGGAGCUCCUGCUGCAUGGUGGGGGUUGGAAAGUUUCGGCGGUUGGGGAUGGACUCGCGGCUUAUCAGCUUGUUGGUGGGGUAGUGGCUUACCAAGGCUUUGACGGGUAGCCGGCCUGAGAGGGUGACCGGCGUCCUUGGGCCUGAGAUACGGCGCAGACUCCUACGGGGGACAGCAGUGGGGAAUAUUGCCCAAUGGGCGGACGCCUGAUGAAGCAACGCCGCGUGCGGGAUGACGGCCUUCGGGUUGUAAACCGCUUUCGCCUGUGACGAAGCGUGAGUGACGGUAAUGGGUAAAGAAGCACCGGCUAACUACGUG
rnacentral:rRNA from 1 species